rnacentral:rRNA from 1 species
UAACUUAGUGGCGGACGGGUGAGUAACGCGUGAGUAACCUGCCUUUCAGAGGGGGAUAACGUCCUGAAAAGGACGCUAAUACCGCAUGAUAUAUUUGUGCCGCAUGGUAUGGAUAUCAAAGGAGCAAUCCGCUGGAAGAUGGACUCGCGUCCGAUUAGCUAGUUGGAGGGGUAACGGCCCACCAAGGCGACGAUCGGUAGCCGGACUGAGAGGUUGAACGGCCACAUUGGGACUGAGACACGGCCCAGACUCCUACGGGAGGCAGCAGUGGGGGAUAUUGCGCAAUGGGGGAAACCCUGACGCAGCAACGCCGCGUGAAGGAAGAAGGUUUUCGGAUUGUAAACUUCUCUUCUAAGGGACGAAGAAGUGACGGUACCUUAGGAAUAAGCUCCGGCUAACUACGUGCCAGCAGCCGCGGUAAUACGUAGGGAGCAAGCGUUGUCCGGAUUUACUGGGUGUAAAGGGUGCGUAGGCGGCAAUGCAAGUCAGAUGUGAAAUGCACGGGCUCAACCCGUGAGCUGCAUUUGAAACUGUGUUGCUUGAGUGAGGUAGAGGCAGGCGGAAUUCCCGGUGUAGCGGUGAAAUGCGUAGAGAUCGGGAGGAACACCAG